rnacentral:tRNA from 1 species
UCCCCGGUAGCUCAGCGGGUAGAGCGGGCGGCUGUUAACCGCCAGGUCGGGGGUUCGAAGCCCUCCCGGGGAGCCA